UUGACCUCGGAUCAGGUAGGAAUACCCGCUGAACUUAAGCAUAUCAAUAAGCGGAGGAAAAGAAACCAACAGGGAUUGCCCCAGUAACGGCGAGUGAAGCGGCAACAGCUCAAAUUUGAAAUCCGGCUUCGGCCCGAGUUGUAAUUUGCAGAGGAUGCUUUUGGCGCGGCGCCUCCCGAGUCCCCUGGAACGGGGCGCCACAGAGGGUGAGAGCCCCGUAUGGUAGGACGCCUAGCCUGUGUAAAGCUCCUUCGACGAGUCGAGUAGUUUGGGAAUGCUGCUCAAAAUGGGAGGUAAAUUCCUUCUAAAGCUAAAUACCGGCCAGAGACCGAUAGCGCACAAGUAGAGUGAUCGAAAGAUGAAAAGUACUUUGAAAAGAGGGUUAAACAGCACGUGAAAUUGUUGAAAGGGAAGCGCUCGUGACCAGACUUGCGCCGGGUCGAUCAUCUGGUGUUCUCACCGGUGCACUCGGCCCGGUUCAGGCCAGCAUCGGUUCUCGCGGGGGGAUAAAAGCCCUGGGAACGUAGCUCCUCCGGGAGUGUUAUAGCCCUGGGCACAAUACCCUCGCGGGGACCGAGGCCCGCGCUCUGCAAGGAUGCUGGCGUAAUGGUCACCAGCGACCCGUCUUGAAACACGGACCAAGGAGUCAAGGUUUUGCGCGAGUGUUUGGGUGUAAAACCCGCACGCGUAAUGAAAGUGAACGUAGGUGAGAGCUUCGGCGCAUCAUCGACCGAUCCUGAUGUUCUCGGACGGAUUUGAGUAAGAGCGUAAUGCCUUGGACCCGAAAGAUGGUGAACUAUGCCUGGAUAGGGUGAAGCCAGAGGAAACUCUGGUGGAGGCUCGCAGCGGUUCUGACGUGCAAAUCGAUCGUCAAAUCAGGGCAUGGGGGCGAAAGACUAAUCGAACCAUCUAGUAGCUGGUUACCGCCGAAGUUUCCCUCAGGAUAGCAGUGUUGAUCUUCAGUUUUAUGAGGUAAAGCGAAUGAUUAGGGACUCGGGGGCGCUAUUUUGCCUUCAUCCAUUCUCAAACUUUAAAUAUGUAAGAAGCCCUUGUUACUUGGCUGAACGUGGGCAUUCGAAUGUACCAACACUAGUGGGCCAUUUUUGGUAAGCAGAACUGGCGAUGCGGGAUGAACCGAACGCGGGGUUAAGGUGCCGGAGUGGACGCUCAUCAGACACCA
rnacentral:rRNA from 1 species